GACGAACGCUGGCGGCGGGCUUAACACAUGCAAGUCGAACGGAAAGGCCCUGCUUUUUUGGGGUGCUCGAUUGGCGAAAGGGGGAGUAACACGUGAGUAACCUGCCCUUGACUUUGGGAUAACUUCAGGAAACUGGGGCUAAUACCGGAUAGGAGCUCCUGCUGCAUGGUGGGGGUUGGAAAGUUUCGGCGGUUGGGGAUGGACUCGCGGCUUAUCAGCUUGUUGGUGGGGUGGUGGCUUACCAAGGCUUUGACGGGUAGCCGGCCUGAGAGGGUGACCGGCCACAUUGGGACUGAGAUAAGGCCCAGACUCCUACGGGAGGCAGCAGUGGGGAAUAUUGCACAAUGGGCGGAAGCCUGAUGCAGCAACGCCGCGUGCGGGAUGACGGCCUUCGGGUUGUAAACCGCUUUCGCCUGUGACGAAGCGUGAGUGACGGUAAUGGGUAAAGAAGCACCGGCUAACUACGUG
rnacentral:rRNA from 1 species